AUAAUGAGUUAUCAAGUCUUCACAUAGAUAUAAAUGUUAAGGGUAACUUUAUAUCGGAUUGACCCACCAUGAGAAUACUACAUAGAGUGUUAUGAAAUGUAAUAAGUUUUCUCAUAGUGAUAAAAGGUGUAUUCCACCCUUCGACCUGAAACCACUAUGUACCCUAGAUGCAGGAGUGUAAUACCUUGUUGCCAUUCAAACGUUAUCCGUAACUGGAUAAUUAUAAAGUUGGUUGAUGGGUAUCCCACGAAUCAUGCUGAGGGACAUGAGUGACCUAGAUGGAAUUUGUCCCUCCUACAUAACGGGAGAUAUGUCUAUGGGCCCAAUAUAGAACUAGACAAGGAUGAUAUACUAUGCCUUGUGUUCAAUAUAGACAUGAGGGCAAAAGGGUAAUUGUGCACAAGAUAUUUAUCACGGAAAGGUUAGUCAGAUCACGUGACAUUCCUGUGACUUGGGUAACAGUGAUGUGUUGCUAGAUNN
rnacentral:lncRNA from 1 species